rnacentral:rRNA from 1 species
CAACAGGGAUUGCCUUAGUAACUGCGAGUGAAGCGGCAAAAGCUCAAAUUUGAAAUCUGGCGUCUUCGGCGUCCGAGUUGUAAUUUGGAGGGGCAUCUUCGGAGUUGGCGCCGUCCUAAGUUCCUUGGAACAGGACGUCAUAGAGGGUGAGAAUCCCGUGCCUGGAUGGCUGUCCAUCUCCAUGUGAAGUGUCUCCGACGAGUCGAGUUGUUUGGGAAUGCAGCUCAAAAUGGGUGGUAAAUUUCAUCUAAAGCUAAAUAUUGGCGAGAGACCGAUAGCGCACAAGUAGAGUGAUCGAAAGAUGAAAAGCACUUUGAAAAGAGAGUUAAAAAGUACGUGAAAUUGUUGAAAGGGAAGCGCUUGAGACCAGACUCAAUCUUUGGUGAUCAGCUGUGCUUCUGUACAGUGCACUUGCCUUUGAUUGGGCCAGCAUCGGUUCUGACGGCGGGAUAAAAGGCGGAGGAAUGUGGCUCUCUUCGGGGAGUGUUAUAGCCUCUGUCACAAUGCCGCCAGUUGGGACCGAGGACCGCGCUUCGGCUAGGAUGCUGGCGUAAUGGUCUUAAGCGACCCGUCUUGAAACACGGACCAAGGAGUCUAACAUCUAUGCGAGUGUUCGGGUGGAAAACCCUUGCGCGUAAUGAAAGUGAACGGAGGUGGGAACCCCUCGGGGUGCACCAUCGACCGAUCCUGAUGUCUUCGGAAGGAUUUGAGUAAGAGCAUAGCUGUUGGGACCCGAAAGAUGGUGAACUAUGCCUGAAUAGGGUGAAGCCAGAGGAAACUCUGGUGGAGGCUCGCAGCGGUUCUGACGUGCAAAUCGAUCGUCAAAUUUGGGUAUAGGGGCGAAAGACUAAUCGAACCAUCUAGUAGCUGGUUCCUGCCGAA